rnacentral:rRNA from 1 species
UGAAUACGAGAUGCUACGGCGUCGAAGCAGUCUAUGUCAUACUUCCAAGAAAAGCUUGCACUGUCAUAAACAAAUAAUGCCUGUACCAUAACCGACACAGGUGGGUAGGUAGAGUAUACUAAGGGGCGCGAGAUAACUCUCUCUAAGGAACUCGGCAAAAUGACUCCGUAACUUCGGGAGAAGGAGUGCCUUAUUUUAUAAGGUUGCAAUAACAAGAUCCAAGCAACUGUUUACCAAAAACACAGGUCUCCGCUAAGUCGUAAGACGAUGUAUGGGGGCUGACGCCUGCCCAGUGCCGGAAGGUUAAAGAAGUUGGUUAGCAUCCGCGAAGCUGAUAACUGAAGCCCUGGUGAACGGCGGCCGUAACGAUAACAGUCCUAAGGUAGCGAAAUUCCUUGUCGGGUAAGUUCCGACCCGCACGAAAGGCGUAAUGAUUUGUAUACUGUCUCAGAGAGGGGCUCGGUGAAAUAGACUUGUCUGUGAAGAUGCGGACUACCUGCACCAGGACAGAAAGACCCUAUGAAGCUUUACUGUAACUUGAAAUCGAAAUUGGACUUUACUUGCGCAGUAUAGGUGGGAGGCGUUGAGAACAUUCUUGCGGGAAUGUUGGAGCCAUCAGUGAGAUACCACUCUUGUAAUGUUAGAUUUCUAACUUUGUAUCAUUAUCUGGUCAAAGGACAGUUUCAGGCGGGCAGUUUGACUGGGGCGGUCGCCUCCCAAACGGUAACGGAGGCGCACAAAGGUUUCCUCUGAACGGGUAGAAAUCGUAUCUAGAGUGUAAAGGCAUAAGGAAGCUUGACUGUGAGACCUACAAGUCGAGCAGGGACGAAAGUCGGUCUUAGUGAUCUGACGGUGCUGAGUGGAAAGGCCGUCACUCAACGGAUAAAAGUUACUCUAGGAUAACAGGCUGAUCUCCCCCAAGAGUUCACAUCGACGGGGAGGUUUGGCACCUCGAUGUCGGCUCAUCGCAUCCUGGGGCGGUAGUACGUCCCAAGGGUUGGGCUGUUCGCCCAUGAAAGCGGUACGCGAGCUGGGUUCAGAACGUCGUGAGACAGUUCGGUCCAUAUCCGGUGUAGGCGUUAGAAUAUUGAGAGGAGCCUUCUUUAGUACGAGAGGACCGAGAAGGACAUACCUCUGGUGUACCAGUUAUCGUGCCAACGGUAAACGCUGGGUAGCUAUGUAUGGAGUGGAUAACCGCUGAAAGCAUCUAAGUGGGAAGCCCACCUCAAGAUAAG